rnacentral:rRNA from 1 species
UACGUAGGGGGCUAGCGUUGUCCGGAAUCAUUGGGCGUAAAGCGCGUGUAGGCGGCCCGGUAAGUCCGCUGUGAAAGUCGGGGGCUCAACCCUCGGAUGCCGGUGGAUACUGUCGGGCUCGAGUACGGAAGAGGCGAGUGGAAUUCCUGGUGUAGCGGUGAAAUGCGCAGAUAUCAGGAGGAACACCCGUGGCGAAAGCGGCUCUCUGGGACGGUACUGACGCUGAGACGCGAAAGCGUGGGGAGCAAACAGG